rnacentral:piRNA from 1 species
UGGGACAGAAAUGUGGCUCAAAAUUGUCACC